AACUUUUAACAACGGAUCUCUUGGCUCUCGCAUCGAUGAAGAACGCAGCGAAAUGCGAUAAGUAAUGUGAAUUGCAGAAUUCAGUGAAUCAUCGAAUCUUUGAACGCA
rnacentral:rRNA from 1 species